CUCAGCGGACGUCUGCUACUAGUCUGUCCUGCGUCAUCUGGAAUCGGACGCUUCCUGUCCUGACUCUGCCCCAGCACCGUCGCCCGUUCACGGACCGAUACAGCUCUUCGCUCCACCCACAACGCCUGCUCAAUCGACGCGUCCAAGAUCCGCAACCUCUGUACCUAAACCAAAACAAAGAUCUCUAGUCCCAACCCCCUCUCAUAUA
rnacentral:lncRNA from 1 species